rnacentral:rRNA from 1 species
GAUGAACGCUAGCGAUAGGCUUAACACAUGCAAGUCGAGGGGCAGCACAAGGUAGCUUGCUAUCUGGUGGCGACCGGCGCACGGGUUCGUAAAGCGUAUGCAACUUGCCCUAUACAGGAGGAUAACCCGUCGAAAGACGGACUAAUACUGCGUAUGCUCACAACUUGGCAUCAAGUGGUGAGGAAAGAAAUUCGGUAUAGGAUAGGCAUGCGUCCCAUUAGCUUGUUGGUUAGGGAACGGCUCACCAAGGCAACGAUGGGUAGGGGAACUGAGAGGUUUAUCCCCCACACUGGUACUGAGACACGGACCAGACUCCUACGGGAGGCAGCAGUGAGGAAUAUUGGUCAAUGGGCGCAAGCCUGAACCAGCCAAGUCGCGUGAAGGAUGACUGUCUUAUGGAUUGUAAACUUCUUUUAUACGGGAAUAACAAGAGUCACGUGUGACUCCCUGCAUGUACCGUAUGAAUAAGCAUCGGCUAACUCCGUG